UCUCAGGUUUCUGGGUGCCCCCAAAUCCCGGACAAGCACCCAAGAUGUAAGGCCCCCUUUCAGAGACCCCCCACUCUAGUCUCGGGAGAGAGACCACACCCAAAGAAACAUGAGAAU
rnacentral:pre_miRNA from 7 species